AAGCCGGUAGGGGGAGACCCAUGGCAAGGGCGCAGAAACGACACAGCCCGGAUUAUAUGCGAUGAACCCUUCGAGGGCGAGAUCUUUUCGGGAUAUGGUGAAACGGCGACUCCCCGCUGGAGCAAGUCCAAACAUGCCGGCCUCCAAUUGUCGGCGGGUAGGACGCAUUAGUCGAAUGCCGUCAACCCCUGCGGGGCGACCUGUUGGGGCUAACAGAAAGGGGCUUAUUACCUUCACCU
rnacentral:RNase_P_RNA from 1 species